UACAGAGGUCUCAAGCGUUGUUCGGAUUCAUUGGGCGUAAAGGGUGCGUAGGCGGCGCGGUAAGUCGGGUGUGAAAUCUUGGAGCUUAACUCCGAAACUGCAUUCGAUACUGCCGUGCUUGAGGACUGGAGAGGAGACUGGAAUUUACGGUGUAGCGGUGAAAUGCGUAGAUAUCGUAAGGAAGACCAGUGGCGAAGGCGGGUCUCUGGACAGUUCCUGACGGCUGGAGGCACGAAGGCCCAGGGGAGCAAACGGG
rnacentral:rRNA from 1 species